UAUAUAUUAACAAUAGAAACCAUUACUAAAAGUACUGUGGAGGCGCUGAGAGGGGCUGAGGUUGGAGUAUUUCAAAUUGGAGCUCCCUCAGCGUUUUCGUCACUGUGCAUUUCAAAGGACGCUGCUGCGAUUCGAAAUUGUGUUGUUCUUCAGAUUUCGGCUCCUCCCUCCAAAACCUGUAGCAGUUCGAAAGGUGUGAAUAGGAACGCAAGAUUCUUAGUAAUCAAUAUGUUGUUUGCUUCAUCCCUUUCCCUAUAAAUAACAAUUGAUAGUUUCCAUUUCCAUCACAAUCCAUUCUCGAUCAGUUCUUCAUCUUCUCUGUUUUGGGAUUUCUAAUGGGUAGGAAGCAGAGAGAAUGAAGGUUAGAGUUGUAAGGAUUCCUCAUAUCAAUUCUUGCCUCCAGUAGCAUCUGCUCCACUUAUAGUGCAUAAGACUUCUUGGUUGAGUUGCUGUGGCCUAUUCGAUGUUCUGUCAGGCUCUAACGGAUAAAUCAGACGGCGAACAACGACCAACAUUUCUUUGGUGAGGUUAGAAUCGGAGGUGCUGAUCUUGCAAAGUCUGUGAAAAUUGAAAAAAGUGGGAUUAGUUACAUUGAUAUUCCAAUUACCUUCAGGCCUAAGGAUUUUGGGUCACUUAAGCAUUCACACAGAACAAAGGUUAUCACUAGGUCCUCCCUUUCUUCACUAUAACACACAGCCACUGUGGCAUAUCACUAGCAAUGGCAAUGAUCAUAAGAAAAUGGAAGUCAUUGGCUUGGUAGAUGGAGAUGGGACCGAAACCGGAUAUAUAAUUGUCAGUCACAACCAUUGCUGGUAAAAAUGGCCAGCCAAAGCAGGUGUGCGUGUGUUUGAUUUAUCAUUUUUUAUAAUUAUUGGACAGCUAUGAACUUACAUGGUUGCUUUUGCUUUAAUUAUUUUAGACAAUAAGAUAUAUGCACUAAUUUUGAGAUAUAAUGUAUUGUCUGUACAUACUCAGGAAUCUAUUAGAGGCAUCAAUGAGUAUGUGUAUGACUUUUACAAUAUAUUUAAGAUUACACGAGUCAAUUUGUUUAAGCCUUACAAAUGCUAAUUCUAUCUGAUUAACCAUUCUUUAACCUUUUUAUGAUAACGCAUAUCGAGUUAAAAAGCAACAACAAAUUGAAAUAGCAGGUCUUCUUCAAAGACUCCAUGGGAUGAGUUUGAAGGGAUUGUGUUGCUUAGGUUUGGCGUGUAAAGAUGAGUUGGGAGAAUUCUCAGACUAUUAUGCAGACACUCAUCAUCGAUUGAAAGUGAUUUAAUUUUUCCUGGUGUUGUUGGUUUAAGAAACCCUCCUAGAGAGGAAGUUCAUAAAGCAAUUGAGGAUUGUAAGCAAGCUGGUAUUAGAGUUAUGGUAAUAACAGGAGAUAAUAAGUCAACAAAUGAGGCUAUUUGUAAGGAAAUCAAAUUUUUCUUAGAGUUUGACAGGUAAAUAAUUCAUGUCUCUUUCUCAUUCAGAACAAGUUAAAUUAUUGUUGAGAGAAUGAGGCAAGGUUUUCUCUCGAGCCGAGCCUAGACACAACGAAGAAAUUGUGAGACUAUUGAAGGAAAUGGGAGAGAUUGUUGCAAUGACUGGAGAUGGUGUGAAUGGUGCACCUUCACGUAAGCUUGCUGACAUAGGAAUUGCUAUGAGAAUAACUGGAACUGAGGUAAGGUAACCUGACUUUUGCUAUACUGAGGUCGCGGUUAUGCUGCAAACCUAUAUAUUGUAGUAAUAAUUAAUAAAGGUUGAAAUAAUAUUUCACCAUUUUAUCAUAAUAUUUGUUUAAAAUUUAUUUAUAUUGUGGUAAGAAGGUGAAAUAUGAUUUAAUAUUUGUCAUAAUCAUUAGUUGAAGUGUGGGGUAAACCUCAAAGCUAAGACGUGUCUUACUUCGCUGUGAUUAUUUCUAACCUUAUAUUGCUAAAUAACAUAGGUUGCAAAAGAAGCUUCAACUAUGAAGCUUGCAGGUGACAAUUGUAGUUAUAAUUGAAACAGGAUCGAAAAACAAGAAUGCUCCUUGGAUUAGUCUUAAUUGUUGUUAUUCUUUACUUGCUGCUGAAGCUCUUCCAUUGUUAAUGUUUCCUCUACUAUUUUGUUUCUCUAAUCAGCCUGUUUGCCAUGAUGUUAGUAAUUUUAAACUGAUAAUAUCCAUAUGGAGUUAAAAAAAAUGUGUUUUAAGGUGAAUAUGAAGCACAAAGCAUAAUAAUUAUUCAGAAACUUGAUCUUAAGUAGAUUGACAUUUGUUUUAGCUUCUUGAAUGUACUUCUUUAUCUUGGUAGCAAUGAUGUUCAAUGCCUAUGUAAUUAUUCUUUUUAUGUAGAUAUUUAUAUUUAUAUAGAUUGUAAAUGCGAGCUUCCGUUUUUGGUUUUGUAUAUAUUAAAAUUAAAGUUUGCUGUUAAUGAAGUUGUUUUAAGAGUUUAAAAUUAGCACAUUAUGCUCCUGUAAAUUUCGAAUGGAGAUUUAAUUAUUGAAAUUUCAAAAUGUGUAUGGUGAAAUGAAAUUUGUUUUACUCUUCUUGCAUGUGUUCAUAUUUGAUUUGAUGAUGCUGCCAUUGAUUACAACUCUUAAGAACCCUUUUGAACCAACUCACAAGUUAUAUUGACAAGAAAGUUGUUGUGAGCUAUAUUUUAGUCUAUUAUUAGUUUUAGAUGUCUACUUUUUUGGUAUUGAUUUUCACAUCCACAGGCCCAGGGUAGCUGACGCUAAUGCACAUUGUGACUUAUUUAUGUUUGGCCCAGAAUUCGCUUUUUAAUCCUUCAAUGCUUGUCCUAUAAACUGUGUAAUUUGUAAUGAUUCGGUGGAGAGUGAUUGGCAUUUUCUUUUUUAGUGUGAUAUGAGUAUUCAGAGCUGGCAAACAGCAGGAUUAUGGCCUCAAAUUUGGGACAGAGUUCAAAGAAUGAAUUCAGUAGCAGAAGUGGUGCUAGAUAUUUGUUCGUGAGAAGUCGAGGCUGUGGUGAAUUGAUUUAUGAUGAUUGUGGCAUAAUAGGAAUGAAUGGAUAUGGAAUCAAAAACAAAUGAACCCAAACCAGAUUACUCAAUGGUCAGAUUGAUUUAGGUUGAAGGCAUAUGGCACCACUCUAACUCCACUCUAACUCAGGUGGAAUUAGGCCUUUCAAACUACAAUUUGCAUGAUUAAGAUGAGUUAGAUUUAUAAGCUUACCAAAAUGAAGUGGAACUCCAUCAUCAAACUCAUUGUAAUAUCCUAAAAAAGGAAAGCUUCACUUCAGUGGUUCUUGGAGAAAAGGAAGAAUAGGGCAUCAUAUCAAACAACUUAUCCAGUAGCAACCACUAAUAAGACAGUUGAUGAAUCAUGGCAUGGCUCUUCUUGACAUCACAACACAAAUCUGAAUGUAGCUCCACCUCAAUGUUAUUUUAACCGAUUUUGUUUUGUUGGACAAACUCCAACAUUUAAUAGGCUUCUUUGCUAUCCUGUUGUUGUUUCUCUAUGAAUUGGAUUGAUCAAAUCAGAUGUGUGUUUCUCUAUUUUUGCGGGACUGAGUCCUAUGCUAAGAAAAAUAUCUACACAUAUUUGUGAAGGUUGUUGCUCAUGCUUAUUAGUAUCAUAUUUAAGAAUGUAGUUUUGAUUGACCCCACACAGUGUACUUAUAGUUACUUACAUUCAUUAUA